UGGAAGCACGGGCUGGAAUCUCUCGGGGUUACAGCCUUGCUGAAUUAUUCACCCUUGUCUUUUGCGUACUUCUUGUUUCCUUGGUGGGUUCGCCCACCACUAGGACAAACAUAAACCUUUUGUAAUUGCAAUCAGCGUCAGUAACAAAUUAAUAAUUACAACUUUCAACAACGGAUCUCUUGGUUCUGGCAUCGAUGAAGAACGCAGCGAAAUGCGAUAAGUAGUGUGAAUUGCAGAAUUCAGUGAAUCAUCGAAUCUUUGAACGCACAUUGCGCCCUUUGGUAUUCCAAAGGGCAUGCCUGUUCGAGCGUCAUUUGUACCCUCAAGCUUUGCUUGGUGUUGGGCGUCUUGUCUCUAGCUUUGCUGGAGACUCGCCUUAAAGUAAUUGGCAGCCGGCCUACUGGUUUCGGAGCGCAGCACAAGUCGCACUCUCUAUCAGCAAAGGUCUAGCAUCCAUUAAGCCUUUUUUUCAACUUUUGAACCC
rnacentral:rRNA from 1 species